UUCAGGACGUGGCUCGGAGCCACCGGCAAGGCCGGGUCCCCCGAAACCUCACCUGCCUUCCCCGCACCGGCGCGGCCUCGAGGUUUCUCAGACGCCUCACAGCCCUCCCCAGACUGUUCUGGAAUCAUCUGUGCACCUGGCCGCCUCGUUCACUCUUCCUGCAGAGCGAGACCGUGCCCUGUUCAUCUUCCUGAUGCGACGGCUGUUUAAACGGGCUGCCUGGUAUACAGUAGACGCUCAAUAAGUGUUGGCUAAGUGGGUAUUCCUCACUGCAAGCAGAACUGGAGACCAAGGAACCACAUAAAGAGGCCCACAGGAAGGAGAAUCCAGGUCCCCAGCUCACAGCCCCAGCUGAGCUCUCAGCGGACAGCUGGUACCAAUUUGCCAGUCUCGUGGGUGAACUCUCUAGAAAGUGGAUGCUGCAGCCCUAGGUGAGCUCCCCCAGCUGACACCAUACGGAAGAGAGGCAUACCACUCCUGCCAUUGAAUGGUGGCGUUUAUGUGUCCUCCCCUGUAACCGCAACAGAAUGCGGAGGAAAUGACAUUCUGGGAAUUCUGAGUCCUGCUGUUCAAAAGUCCUGG